GCGCAAUGCCUCAGCUUGAAGGACUUCGCUGGGUCUUAACGCCCGCAGCGGAAUCCUGGCUACGCUGGUUUGUGGCACUUGUUGAGGUGGUCAUGAAGAAGGAAGGGUAUUUGCUCUUCAUGCUCUUCAACCACAGAAGUUUGAGACUUUUUGCUGUGGAUGGAGAUGUAUUCCAGGCGACCAGUGAGCCCAGGAGGACUUGACUUGCAAUUCAGAGAAUGGACACUGUGCUGACCCUACAGCUAUGCAAGCUACUACUCACCAUGAACAUGUUGACAUUUGGAAGUUUCCUUUGAAGCAAAAUGUGGAUGUAGAGGCAGAGUUUGAGUGUCUCUGGAUGCAACAUGGAGUUUCAGAACCCUUGCAAAUAGGAAUUCCAUCAGCAGCUGGCAUUCGGGAUUGGGAACCCCUCAAGGAUGCUACUUUCCUGCCUCCCUUUUCAAACAUCGUUUUUGUGAGUGGAACAUUAUAAGCAGCCUCUUUUAUGUGUGAAUUCACUGAGCAAUUUGAGAAUUGUAAAGAUGUAUCAUUUUACUGGUUUAUGUUCCAUUAUAUCUUGCAUUUGCCAAUUCUUAAGCAUAUACAAACCUAUACUAAUCCCUUACUGAUUUUGUUGUUGUACUGCUGAAAUGGGUGUAAGUUUUUGUUGCUGAAAAGGCA